AUUUUAAGAAAAUACGGAUUUGGAAUUUGAAAGGCCCGCAGCAGAAACGGCUGGAAAAAUUCACUAGUUGAAUUUAUGCAAAAAGAAUUGGUUUUCCCUCAUUUAAAUCUGAGUUAAGAUUUGAAGUUUAUGUAAAAGCUUUAUGGCGCGGAUCAAGCCUCAAGCUCUCUUGCAACAAAGUAAAAAGAAGAAGGGACCGAGUAGGAUCAGCAUCACUACCAUUCUAAUUUACGCCAUAAUUGUGGUUUUCAUGGCCUUUUUCCUUUACUCUUCCUACAGACACUGGUCUAGGAGGUCACAAUUUCGUAUGGAGAAUGCGUCACUAGGUGUAGAGGUACGAAU